rnacentral:rRNA from 1 species
CGCCAGACUCCUACGGGAGGCAGCAGUGGGGAAUAUUGCACAAUGGGGGAAACCCUGAUGCAGCGACGCCGCGUGAGCGAUGAAGUAUUUCGGUAUGUAAAGCUCUAUCAGCAGGGAAGAAGAUGACGGUACCUGACUAAGAAGCCCCGGCUAACUACGUGCCAGCAGCCGCGGUAAUACGUAGGGGGCAAGCGUUAUCCGGAUUUACUGGGUGUAAAGGGAGCGUAGACGGCGAUGCAAGCCAGAUGUGAAAGCCCGGGGCUCAACCCCGGGACUGCAUUUGGAACUGUGUGGCUGGAGUGUCGGAGAGGCAGGCGGAAUUCCUAGUGUAGCGGUGAAAUGCGUAGAUAUUAGGAGGAACACCAGUGGCGAAGGCGGCCUGCUGGACGAUGACUGACGUUGAGGCUCGAAAGCGUGGGGAGCAAACAGGAUUAGAUACCCGAGUAUA